rnacentral:tRNA from 1 species
UGGCUCAGUGGUAGAGCGCAUGCCUUGCAUGCCUGAGGCCUUGGGUUCGAUUCCUCA